UACGGAAGGCAGCAGUGGGGAAUAUUGCACAAUGGGCGCAAGCCUGAUGCAGCCAUGCCGCGUGUAUGAAGAAGGCCUUCGGGUUGUAAAGUACUUUCAGUCGUGAGGAAGGUGUUAAGGUUAAUAACCUUAGCAAUUGACGUUAGCGACAGAAGAAGCACCGGCUAACUCCGUGCCAGCAGCCGCGGUAAUACGGAGGGUGCGAGCGUUAAUCGGAAUUACUGGGCGUAAAGGGCACGCAGGCGGUUAAUUAAGUUGGAUGUGAAAUCCCCGGGCUUAACCUGGGAAUGGCAUUCAAGACUGGUUAGCUAGAGUCUUGUAGAGGGGGUAGAAUUCCAUGUGUAGCGGUGAAAUGCGUAGAGAUGUGGAGGAAUACCGGUGGCGAAGGCGGCCCCUGGACAAAGACUGACGCUCAUGUACGAAAGCGUGGGGAGGCAAA
rnacentral:rRNA from 1 species